UGCCUUACACAUGCAAGUCGAACGGCAGCACGGGUGCUUGCACCUGGUGGGCGAGUGGCGAACGGGUGAGUAAUACAUCGGAACAUGUCCUGUAGUGGGGGAUAGCCCGGCGAAAGCCGGAUUAAUACCGCAUACGAUCUACGGAUGAAAGCGGGGGACCUUCGGGCCUCGCGCUAUAGGGUUGGCCGAUGGCUGAUUAGCUAGUUGGUGGGGUAAAGGCCUACCAAGGCGACGAUCAGUAGCUGGUCUGAGAGGACGACCAGCCACACUGGGACUGAGACACGGCCCAGACUCCUACGGGAGGCAGCAGUGGGGAAUUUUGGACAAUGGGCGAAAGCCUGAUCCAGCAAUGCCGCGUGUGUGAAGAAGGCCUUCGGGUUGUAAAGCACUUUUGUCCGGAAAGAAAUCCUUGGUUCUAAUAUAGCCGGGGGAUGACGGUACCGGAAGAAUAAGCACCGGCUAACUACGUGCCAGCAGCCGCGGUAAUACGUAGGGUGCGAGCGUUAAUCGGAAUUACUGGGCGUAAAGCGUGCGCAGGCGGUUUGCUAAGACCGAUGUGAAAUCCCCGGGCUCAACCUGGGAACUGCAUUGGUGACUGGCAGGCUAGAGUAUGGCAGAGGGGGGUAGAAUUCCACGUGUAGCAGUGAAAUGCGUAGAAAUGUGGAGGAAUACCGAUGGCGAAGGCA
rnacentral:rRNA from 1 species